rnacentral:rRNA from 1 species
GAUGAACGCUGGCGGCGUGCCUAAUACAUGCAAGUCGAGCGAACGGACGAGAAGCUUGCUUUUCUGAUGUUAGCGGCGGACGGGUGAGUAACACGUGGAUAACCUACCUAUAAGACUGGGAUAACUUCGGGAAACCGGAGCUAAUACCGGAUAAUAUUUUGAACCGCAUGGUUCAAAAGUGAAAGACGGUCUUGCUGUCACUUAUAGAUGGAUCCGCGCAGCAUUAGCUAGUUGGUAAGGUAACGGCUUACCAAGGCAACGAUGCAUAGCCGACCUGAGAGGGUGAUCGGCCACACUGGAACUGAGACACGGUCCAGACUCCUACGGGAGGCAGCAGUAGGGAAUCUUCCGCAAUGGGCGAAAGCCUGACGGAGCAACGCCGCGUGAGUGAUGAAGGUCUUCGGAUCGUAAAACUCUGUUAUUAGGGAAGAACAUAUGUGUAAGUAACUGUGCACAUCUUGACGGUACCUAAUCAGAAAGCCACGGCUAACUACGUG